rnacentral:snRNA from 2 species
AUAAUUAGCACUGUUUGUACAGGAUCUCAACCCGUGUAGUAUCUGUUCUUAUCAGUUUAAUAUCUGAUAUGUGGGCCAUCGGCCCACUCGAUAUUAAUCUAAUUUUUUAUGGGAAAAGGCCCAUCACAAUAGCUUGCUAUUGGGGUCUUUGAGCGUUUGCGUUGCAUUACUGCCUAGGCUUGGCGCACCCCUC